CCCGCCGUGACCCCGCCGUGACCCCGGUGGCGUGGCCUGCCCGGCUCUCCGCGGCUGCCUCCGCCCCUCCGCCCGGCCGAGUUCUUCGAGUGGACAGGCUUCCUGAGGCUACGCAAGGACCCGGGUUAGCAGCAGCUGAAACGAGCAUUCAUCGACGUUCACUGCACCACGUCUCACACUGGAGUCUUUCAUCCAGUUGCCGUGUCCGGGGGAUUCUUCACAACGCAUCCCUAGCCGGUGUGCAGGAGCCACGUGCCGGCCGGCCCCGAACACGGCGGGAUCCGCUCGAGGAGAAGCAGACCAGGCCGUGGGGGCGCAGCCCUGGUUUCUUUCAGAGAGGAAGGCAGUGAAGGCGGUUUGGAGGGAUUCGGGGUGGCGGGGAAAGCCAGGGGGGUCUCUCCUUUCUUGUCGCGGUGGAGACGAUCGCGGGGUGGCGGCGGCUGAAGAGUGAACACCAACUGCGGGCGCCACAGCCAUGGUGGCAGGAAUCAGGCCCCAUGGCUCCGGGGACACAGGGCCCCAGUGUGCGCCGGGCCUGUGAUGGGCCCGUCCGCGCUCCGCGGACAAGGGCCCUGUGUCUGCCACCGUCCGACACAAAGGACAGAGGUCCCCUGUUUACUUUGGAUUAGAAGCGUUCAGAUGAAGGACAGCAAAAACAUUUGAGUUUUCCCACUUCUCAGCUUCUUACAAAAAAAAGCAAAUUGUAGUGAAUCGGGGACUUUUUGGCAUCUUCCCUGAAUAAAAAUCAAUCACGCUGGAUGGCUGAGGGGAGUCGUAAAGAGCUUCCUUGUUUGUUUAUUUAUUUAUUUAUUUUCGAUUUAUGGGGCUUAAAAGCUAAGAAGUGGCAGUGACCGAGUAGGCGCCUCAAUCGUCCAUUCAUUUCCCAGGAAAUGGGGCAUUCCCAGUGCCUUGGUCAGCUGGAACAAGUGACCUUUGACCUUUUGCAACAAGCCCAGCAUAGGCUGGGAGCACCCACAGACUCGGGGCCACGGCCCGGCCUCCUUCCCUUCCGCCCCUCGUCCCUCUUCCCUUCAGCUCCUCGUCCAAUCCCCGUCUCUUGGGGAGGCCUGCAGAAGUGUGGAGGGCUUCUCGGGCAACGGACUCUUUACACCGUAAAAGCCAAGAUGCUUCUGCAUCAAAAGGCUGCGAGACUGCGGGGCCUGGGCUCCGAAGGCCGCAGUCACACGGCUCGAGUGGCGCGGGCUUUCGUAGUUUCUGGGUUCGGAUCCCAGUCCUGGCACUACCGAGCCAAAGCUUCCCGAGCCUUCCCACGUGCUGACUCUCUCACCGUACCCCGGGGAUCCCCUGCCCCUCGGCGCGGAGCCCUUGAUGCGGCCGGAGCCAGACGAGGGGUACUCAGAGCCUGACGCCUGGCUCGGGACGGUGGUGCGGCACCCGGCAUGCCUUGCCCUGGCGAAGCCCCGCUUCGGGGGACCGAGGUGUCCGGCCUGACGCUGGCUUGUUCUCGAGAAGCCACUGCAGUAUCAACAACAAAGGGGGACGGAGAGCCCCACCGGAGGGGCUUCUGCGCCGCACAUCCGUCCCGGCCUCAGAGUCUGACGGGCCCUCUGGACGUGUGAGACCGAGAAGGGCCACCGUGAUGGCAGGUGACCCCACCACCUUGUGCGCGGUGUGCCAACGAGCGGUAGGUGCGGAGGGAAAGGUGAGAAAGGUGAGGCUAGCUCAUACCCGUGUAAUCGUCCCCUGCCUGCCUCUGACAUCAUAUCUCAAGUGACACCCGCUUGUCACGCGCCAGAUCCGGAGAAUUCCUCAGUCAGCUCCUGCAGGGACGCUCUCUGGAGCCUGGGCCCUCCGACCCCCAGCAGGGCCGGUGCCCACUGCUCCGGGGCCGCCGAGCUGUCAGCGGCCCCCGCGGGAGCGGAGAAGAAGAGCAAGCCAGUGGGUCUCGAGACGUAGCUGAGAUCGCACUGAGCCAUUCGGCCGCACGUCACGAACUUCUCAGCGUUCCAGGGGAGACGGAGCAUUUCUCCCUACGAUGGGGAGAUGAGCUAUUUCUAGAACAGAAGUGACUCCUCUGAGAAAUAACCGGAAGGCACGGUCAGUAACAGGUCGUUUGGAGGUCUGCGCGACACGUCACCACGGCCGUUUCUCUGGCUGUAGACCAGCUCCAGAACCUUCUGUUGGUCCUCCCGGCCCUGCCUCUGCCCUGCCCCUCUGGCCGCCCGCGCCCCACGGCACUGACCUCCGCCCUUUGCCCUCACUCGGCCUUGUCCCGCCGCCUCCCGCCGGCCACCGGCAACGGGACGCGGGGAGCUUUCCGGUGACUGCACACGUAGUUCCGACGGGUGAGGUCUUGGAUGCUGCCCUCGGUCUUAGGACAGUAUGUCAACAUUUUAUUUAUUGGUUUUAAUCUACAUUUAGUUGGCCUUUGUGCACACGGGAUUCACUUCGUUUUUUCCCCUGGGAGCGCGCAUGUCCUUCUCCACUAACCACGGUAACAGGAGUCCUGGCCUGAGGGGUACUCUGUGCUGCCGUUCUACUUCUUACUCUCAUGUGGCUGGAUCUCUGGUUUUUAAUAGAUUUAAUUUAAUUUUAAUACACGUUUACAAAUACAGUAGGAAAGAGCUCAGCACAACCGGGUUCCUGCCGGUGACCCAGCCUUCACCUGCGUCCUGAGACCGCAUCCUGCAUCGAAGAACGAGUGUGUCUGCCUCCGGUAGCUCUCGCCCGAUCCUUGACUUAGGUAUCACGACGAUCUGGCCGGCUGGCUAGCACGGGCUUCCUGAUGCCAGACAGGAAUCUGCCAAGUGACCUGCUUCUCCAGUUGGGCGAGACCUUGGAAUUCCCCCGGACGGGACCUCCUAGGAGGGACAGGUUCUGCGGUAUCGCUGUUGGAUCACACCGAGCCGUCCCUCCCUCCAGGCGAGGGCGUGACCACCACCAGGACCCUCAGCAAAGAGGAAUUAAAGACAUGGUCCUCUUGUGACCUUAAUUAUUCAGAUCUCAGAACUUUCUUGGCCUCUUUGGAUUUUCCCUGCCAGCUCAGCUGAUGAGACUGCUGUUUUAUGUAAUACCUGCAUGAAAAAGAAAGGAAUUCCCCCCGUUUUUCACAGAAAUGACAGUUGGGCAUCAUUGUCACAAAAUAAUAGAAAUGUUAGCAACCAGAUUCACAUGAGGACUAAGUGGCCCCCAUGAGUCACAUUGACUCUCAUAUUCCACUUUGUCCUUUCUAUAGUUUUCUGGGUAACAGAGAAAGCUUUUUCUUUCCAAGUAACAGUGGGAUUGGCAAAAUUGGCAAUGAAGUUGAAACUUGGAACCAAAUUAGAGAAGAUGGAUCGUAUGUAAAAGGGCUGAUGAAAAUGUGAAACUAGGGAAAAAAAAAGAAAGAAAAUGUAAGACUUGGCUGCUUUAUUUGUGGGGCUCAAACUGGGAAAGGUUAAAUACCAUAAUUUUUCCAUUUGUUUGGCAUUUUGAUUCUGAAAAGAAAGCUGGCUUUGCCCAUUUUUUAUUCCUAAAAACUUAUUUUAAAAACGAGAGAGAGAAAGGAACAAUUAAAAAAAACCAAUAAACCAACCUUAGAACAUGACAGCCACGAGCAGCUAGCUGGAGCAGCAAGUGACUAAGGGCGCGAGGAAUGACGAGCAUGCCUUCCUCUGGGAGGGGCUCCACCUGCGCGGCUCUUCGCACACAGGAAUCUCACCCGCAGACACGUUCUCACACGUAUGAUGGUGGUGAAUGAUUUGAAAGAAAUUGAAGGCAGAACAAAGAAGAGCCUGGAACACGUUUAAUGAUUUACCUGUAGAUCAUUCUGAACAACCUAAAAUUUGGGAGACCUCUCUGGGUGCCUUGCCGCUUACACAACUCAGCUAGGAAGCAAGAGCCAACACCUGUUUCCUUGGGAAUGUCUCCAAAAGUUCCAGGAAGGUGACUCCUCGGGUGAGACGACUGGAGAAUUAGGUGGGGGAACGUGCUGCCUCAGGAGAAUGGAGCCACGGCAGGUGCGUGCCUGCCAGAAACUGAAAUUUGAUCUGGACGCUCUGCGUGCCAGCUCGUACUCCAGGGCUGAAGCCUGCUCAUCACACGGUAGACUGAGAAUGUGGCCGAGGGCAACACACUUUUGCUCCCUGAUGACCAACAUCUAUCUGGAAAGACCAUCUUCGUUCAAGAUGAAGGGGAAAAAAACCCAAGUCCUACUGUUUACACCUGAAAAUGGGGCAUAUGUAAAAAAUCCUACGGAUCAAUAGAAUUCUGAAGAUUCUUGGGAACAACCUAUGGUAGAACUAGAAGCAAAUUUCAGGAAGGUUAGCACUUCAAUAAAAUGCAAGAAGACGUGGUAUUUCCUAGGGUGAUCAUUUAAUUUAUCCUAUUUAGAGUGAAAGUGAAGGGCUAUUCAUAAUUCUAUCAGUUACAGGGCAGUAUCUCUCAUGAAAAGAGAGAAAGGCCCCAGAGGCUCCAGUUCCCCGGCGUCCGAGCUCCAGCCAUCAUCCGACUACGACUGCAUGAGACCCCAGGAGCAUAGAGCUAAGUCCUGCCUGCAUUCCUGACCCACAGGAACAAAAGGAUAUAGUAAAAUAAUUAUUG